rnacentral:lncRNA from 1 species
AUGCCCAAAGGAUGAUAGUAAGCUUACUGUGACAUAACUCCCGGAGCCGCAGCACGAGCCUUGUGAACCUUGGAAGCCCGUUUUCCGCGCAGUCACUAACUCGCUUAGUCACCCUGUGUAAAAGUUAUUCUGGGAUGACACCUGCCUGGGAAGUCUCACCUUUCCCCCCACCUCCUCCUGUCUGCGUAUUGUUCUGUAGCACCCCGUGCGCACCUUGAUUGUAGCGCUUAAGCAAGGCAAUUUACUUCUAUAGAAGGGUGCGCCCUCACAGAUGGAGCAAUGGUCAGCUGGUGAUGCAGUUGCAGCCAGGAAUGAGUGAGCACCAGCCUGGGAACAUUUAUUCAGCGAAGGUGGUGGAGGAUGGGCCCCUGCAGGCUGGUUUCCUACGUGAGGCUGAUGCUGUCAUGGUUUCCCUGAGGUCAGUGGGAGCUUGCUCUCACUCAAUGGAUUCUCCACACGGUCCCCACUCCCCGCGACACCUUGACUUUUGGACCAAGUCUAAACUCCAUAGUGUGGCUUAGAAGGCCCUUCACAGGAUGACUGACCCCUGUGGAACUACUCAGGAUUCUUUGUUGCAGCCAAGAAAAGCCAAUUCUUGUUGAUUAAGCAGAAAAGGAGUCUUUUUGGAAAGAUAUCAAGUAACUCAUAGAAUUGUCCAGAAGGCUAAGGAACUGGCUUGGAAAAACAACAGAAGCUCAGGGAGGAGAGAUAAAGACUUUGGGAGCAAAGAUGAGGUUCGGAGAAAGGUUUACUGUCAAGCAAGGAAUCUGAUCUGACCCAGAGAACUUCAGUUCUGGGGAUGAGGCCCUAAGAAUCCGGUCUCCGUCAGGAAAGCAGUCUGUGGGCUCUGGAGCGACCUGGGAUCUGGAGUACAGUUCUGUUGGACAGUGCUGCAAGGAUGGAGAGACUAUUAAGAUCACCUGACUACACCAUUUAAAAAAUUUUUUGAAUGAACUAUCUUUGUUUGUAAGCCCCAAAACAUGGUCUGAAGACUCAUUAGUGACCUGAUCAUACAGCUGACCUCUGAACAACAUGAGUUUGAACUGCGUGCGGGUCACUUAUAGGCAAGUGUUCAACUGCACGGGGCAGGAGCAGUUGGUGCCCAAUCUGCUAAUUGUUCAAAGGUAGAGUGUAGUUUUUAAAGACAAGUGAGGUAAUUUCUUUUAAAUCUCUAGGCUACUACAAUACAGAAUGCUGGGAAAUGAAUUAAUGUUAUGCUUACGUGUGCUUUUCAAAAUUCCCCUUGUGACUAAUGGGAUGUCACUCUGCAAAAACAUUGUUAGUUUCCCAUUGAUUCCACUGGUUUGAGUGUGUUUAAUGCCGAGGAAAGUGAGAGUUCUUUCGGAAGAUGGUAGGUUUUUGUCUUUUUGAGGUGGUUCAUUUACUUUGAGAAUCAUCAUUUUGUAUUUUUAAAACCAAGUCUUAUAUGCAAAAUUAUUGAACUGUGAGAAGAAAAGGCAAAUAAAAUCUUUCUUUUUCAUUGCAAAUGUGUCUUUAUCCAGUAAUGACUUUGAAACGGGCAUCUAAAUACUUUCUCUGAAACCCCAGUGAAGAAAGUCAAGGGGUCAUCCAGGGUGAAGAUCUUAAUUGGCCUGUUUCCUUCAGCAAGUCUACAUGCUUGUUGAUUUAGCUUCUCAGCUUCUAAUUUUUGUAGAUUUCUCAAAUUCAGGAUCUCCAUCUCCCUUCCUCUUACUCAUCCUCCUACCACCCCUAGAAUCCUGAAUCUAGACAAAGAUAAAAUCCAUAAGUGACAUUUUCUGUAAGUGAAGUUGGAAGUAAUUUGGGAAAAAGCUACAGUAAUUAUAAGUGGUUAUGAAACCCUAAUUUUCUGACAAGAACCUACUAUCUCUCUGGACAUAGUUAUACUCAAGCACAUCAGUUUCCCUAGACAAUAUCAUACACAUCAUAGCCUCUGUGACAUAUGGUUGUAUAGGUUGUGGGUUGUGCACUGCACAAGGACACAUUUAAGGAGGUGUUGCUCACAUUAUAUACAUCACAGAUUUGGUACUUAUAACAAAAAUAAAAACAAUUUUCCAGAAGAUGGCAGUAAAGUUGUUGGAGGCUGAAAGAAUGAGGGUCGUGGUCAACUCAGUGCACCACUGGCGGCUAUAUGAGCAAACAGCAAACUGUUCUCGUGAAAGCAGGAUGUUGGUAAACUGACAAACUGUGCCUGCCGCCCAGUAGGAAUGCUGAGGGCAGUCACAACCCAGGCACGAGUGUUUCUUGUGAUUAGGCACAACUGAAUCCUGUUAGCAAUAAUGUGAA